rnacentral:rRNA from 1 species
UACAGAGGUCUCAAGCGUUGCUCGGAUUCAUUGGGCGUAAAGGGUGCGUAGGCGGCGCGGUAAGUCGGGUGUGAAAUCUCGGGGCUUAACUCCGAAACUGCAUUCGAUACUGCCGUGCUUGAGGACUGGAGAGGAGACUGGAAUUUACGGUGUAGCGGUGAAAUGCGUAGAUAUCGUAAGGAAGACCAGUGGCGAAGGCGGGUCUCUGGACAGUUCCUGACGCUGAGGCACGAAGGUCAGGGGAGCAAACGGG